rnacentral:rRNA from 1 species
UACGUAGGGUGCGAGCGUUGUCCGGAAUUAUUGGGCGUAAAGGGCUCGUAGGCGGUUUGUCGCGUCGGGAGUGAAAACCCAGGGCUUAACUCUGGGCUUGCUUUCGAUACGGGCAGGCUAGAGGUAUGCAGGGGAGAACGGAAUUCCUGGUGUAGCGGUGAAAUGCGCAGAUAUCAGGAGGAACACCGGUGGCGAAGGCGGUUCUCUGGGCCGUAACUGAUGCUGAGGAGCGAAAGCAUGGGGAGCGAACAGG